rnacentral:tRNA from 1 species
UGGAGUGUAGCUCAGUGGUAGAACACUAGUAUACAUGAGGCCCUGGGUUCAAUCCCUAGCACUACAA